AAUACUUUGUCCCAUCCUCCCCACGUUAAAAUUAUUUCGUAAACAAUACUAGGUCUUGCGGCAACCGCUACAGCUGACGCACGGCUCUUCUCUCAGUUCUGCGCUUCACCCUCGCAAACAGGACUCGGCAGUCCGAGCACGAACCCCGCGGCAGAAGCAUUGUCUAAGGGGCAACUGCAUCCUCAGAAACUCCUCAGGGAUGAAGUAGUAGAUGUUCCUCCGUCCGUCAGCAGAUAGGCGGGCAGGGCUUUGGGCUACCCUGGAGGAUACAGGAGCACCGGUCUUCUGAGAGUUCACAAUCACUAGGGGCGGGGCAGGGAGGCAAGCAAAAAUAUCUACAGCUGGGAGCGGCAAGUGACACCUGUGGGUAUUACAGUUGACUGUGCUUCUCUCUUCUCUUGGCUGGUAGGAAGAUCAAAAAGCAGAGAUCAGUUUUUCCCCAAACCCCUACAACACAAUAUCUGAUGCAUGUUUUUUUGUACCAUUCAUAACUCUGAUUUUAUUUUCCCUGUAUUUUUUGUUUGAUUUUUUAAUGUUUUUAUUUUGCC